CAACGUUUGAUCACACGAUCGUGAAGGCAAGAAGCUGGAUAAUGGGCUCUCUUUUCAUCGUUUUUCAACCUGGAGGCAACGUGAGGGAUCCCAUGUAUCCGAUAUUACUAAACAAAGACGUCAGGCUUGCAUUGCAGCGGUGAGACGAGCGGAUCGAGUUCUGUGCAAUCCCCAGCUUUUUGUUGGUUUGGUCUCUGCAUCUUCUUUCCGGUACUGCACUCACAACGACUGAAUGAAACUGCACUGUGACCUCGUUGUGUGGACACAGAGAGACCUGUCACACGCAUCUUCCCUGAUGUGGAUUUCUGGGAACCACGUUUAAAGCAAGCACAAGACUUCUUUCUUAAAGUGUGUCUUCCUGAACUUGUUGGGAAAUACUUCUCCAAACAACGUGCUGCUCUAAAUAGCCUGUAAUGUUUCAUUUUGUGGUUCAAGAUUGAUGCCAGC
ensembl:lncRNA